CAGUAGCCACGGUAAUACAGAGGGUGCGAGCGUUAAUCGGAUUUACUGGGCGUAAAGCGUGCGUAGGCGGCUUCUUAAGUCGGAUGUGAAAUCCCUGAGCUUAACUUAGGAAUUGCAUUCGAUACUGGGAAGCUAGAGUAUGGGAGAGGAUGGUAGAAUUCCAGGUGUAGCGGUGAAAUGCGUAGAGAUCUGGAGGAAUACCGAUGGCGAAGGCAGCCAUCUGGCCUAAUACUGACGCUGAGGUACGAAAGCAUGGGGAGCAAACAGGAUUAGAUACCCCGGUAGUCCCUGUCUUUAUACA
rnacentral:rRNA from 1 species